rnacentral:rRNA from 1 species
AGUGAACGCUGGCGGUAGGCCUAACACAUGCAAGUCGAACGGCAGCACAGUAAGAGCUUGCUCUUACGGGUGGCGAGUGGCGGACGGGUGAGGAAUACAUCGGAAUCUACUUUUUCGUGGGGGAUAACGUAGGGAAACUUACGCUAAUACCGCAUACGACCUACGGGUGAAAGCAGGGGAUCUUCGGACCUUGCGCGAUUGAAUGAGCCGAUGUCGGAUUAGCUAGUUGGCGGGGUAAAGGCCCACCAAGGCGACGAUCCGUAGCUGAUCUGAGAGGAUGAUCAGCCACACUGGAACUGAGACACGGUCCAGACUCCUACGGGAGGCAGCAGUGGGGAAUAUUGGACAAUGGGCGCAAGCCUGAUCCAGCCAUACCGCGUGGGUGAAGAAGGCCUUCGGGUUGUAAAGCCCUUUUGUUGGGAAAGAAAAGCAGCAGGUUAAUACCCCGUUGUUCUGACGGUACCCAAAGAAUAAGCACCGGCUAACUUCGUG